UACGUAGGGACCAAGCGUUGUUCGGAUUUACUGGGCGUAAAGGGCUCGUAGGCGGCCAACUAAGUCAGACGUGAAAUCCCUCGGCUUAACCGGGGAACUGCGUCUGAUACUGGAUGGCUUGAGUCUGGGAGAGGGAUGCGGAAUUCCAGGUGUAGCGGUGAAAUGCGUAGAUAUCUGGAGGAACACCGGUGGCGAAGGCGGCAUCCUGGACCAACACUGACGCUGAGGAGCGAAAGCCAGGGGAGCAAACGGG
rnacentral:rRNA from 1 species